AGGUGGUGGCGCAAAGGUCACGGAAUUCUGGCGCGCCGCGUUCUGCACGCUUUUACUGCUGCGUGUAUCAUCUCUCGGGUCGUUCCCGAAUCCGUUCUCCAUAAAAAUUCCAUGAGUUACGGAUGGUGAAAUUAAGAAACACAAUUUAAAGGAGCUUAAACCAUCUAGCAGCGGUGUGCCGGAGGGGGUGUAAUAAGGAUCAUCCACCCAAGUGUGGGCAACAAGGAGUGCGCCGGGGAUUUAAAAGCAAUGAUAAAACCAAUCGGAGCCCUUCUGCUUUUUGUUACCACCAUGUGCCAGCAAUUUAAACAAGGAGGAUUUCUACUGCAGAGGGAUUGAGAGGAAGGCCCAAAGGAAAGUCAGUGAGUGUCAUGGAGCUGGAAGCUCGAGAGGAACAGCCUUUUCCCAGACUGUCGGAGCUUUUCUGGUAUCUGAAUUAAUCUACCUACUUGUUAUUGGUACGUUCAGUGUUUUUGUUUCUUCGUGAUUCAGCUGUGGUAGGUGUGUGUUUCCAGGAAUUUAACAAUUUCCCCUAGGCUAUCCAAUUUAUUAGUGUAUAAUUGUUCACAGUAGUCCCUUACAAUCCUUUAUUCCUGUGCAUCAGAUGUAGUAUGUGUUCUUUUGUUGUUUAUUUUAUUUACUUGAAUUUCUUUUUUCUUAGUCGAAUUCAGGAUUUGUCAAUUUUUUCAUCUUUAAAAAAUAAUUUUGUCAACUUUUUUCCUGUUCUCUUUCAUUUCUUUCUUUAUUUUUUAAAAAAUAUUUAUUUAUUUGAGAGAGAGAGUUACAGUGAGAGGGAAAGGCAGAGAGAAAGGUCUUUCAUCUGGUUGUUCACUCUCCAAAUGGCUACAGCAGCUGAAGCUGGGCUGAUCCGAAGCCAGGAGCAAGGAGCCUCUUCCAGGUCUCCCACUCGAGUACAGGGGCACAAGUGCUGGGGCCAUCUUCUACUACUUUCCCAGGCCAUAGCAGAGAGCUGGAUCAGAAGAGGAGUAGCUGGGACUUGAACCAGCACCCAUAUGAGAUGUCAGUGCCACAACGUCAGCACCUCAUUUAUUUUUGCUUUGAUCUUUAUUAUUUUCUUCUUUUUGCUAACUUGGGGCUUCCUAUAGUUCCUUGAGAUAUAAAGAUAAUUUAUUUAUGAUUUUUUUUUUAGUGCAGAUCUUUAUCGCUGUAAACUCUCCUCUCAUGCUGCUUUUGCUGUAUCUCAUACAUAUUGGUAUAUUCCUGAAAGAUACUUAACUCUUAAAUGUGUUAAUACAAUUUGUGACCUAGGAUGUAAACUAUUCUGGAAAUUAUUCCAUGAAUAUCGUGAGUGAAAUGUCCUGCUUAUGUCUUUAGGUCCAUUUGACCUACCUUGUUACUUAUUUAUGUAUUCUACAACAGAAUGAGUCCACUUGUAUUUAUUUACUUUUCAAUUAUUCAAAUCCAUGAUGGGGACAGCGUUACAUGGAGUCCAUGUGCAGUGCUUUUCACAAGAAGGUUGCCUUGGAAUUUGGCAUGAACCAUGCCACUGUUGCCAGGAGUAUGAGAAUCUAUCCCCAGGUUACUCUGGUUUUGUUGGGUUGCCUUCAGGAGUCACUGUGUUGUUCUUUGCUUUGUAGAUGUGAAGAUAUCUCUUGCCCAAUGAGAACUCAGUUUCAUCUCGGGAAUAAACACCUUCAGUUUAGGAAGAGCCUUGUGUGCCCUUUGGUUCUGGAGGCCUUGCAUCACACCCUUCCAGACAGACUUGCCUUUCAAAAAUUCAGCAUUGUGGUGCAGUGGGUUAAGCUGCUUCCUGUGAUGCCUGCAUCCCGUAAGAGUACUGGUUUGAGUCUUGACUCUUCCACUUCUGCUCCAGCUCUCUGCUAAUGUGCUUGGGAAAGCAGCAGAAGGUUGUCCAAGUUUCCCUGCCACCCAUAUGGGAGUCCCUGAUGGAGUCUAGGCUCCUGGCUUCAGCCUGGCCCAUCCCCAGCUGUUGUGGCCAUUUGGGGAAUUAGCUAGUGGAUGGAAGAUCUCUUUCUCUGUCUCUCCCAUUCUCUCUGCAACUCUGACUUUCAAAAUACAUUAAAAGUUCUUUUAAAAAAUUCUUAAAAAAAAAAUCAAGGGGUGACUGUUGGGAGUCAGUGGGUGAAGUAUCCACUUGGGACGCCCAUAUUCCCAUGAUAGAGUGCCUGCUUCGAGUCCCAGCUACUCUGCUUCCAAUCCAGAUUCCUGUUAAUGUACUUGCUGGGAGGCAGCAGGUCAGACUUCAGGUCCUUGAGUCCCUGUCACCCACAUGGGAGACCCAGAUGGAAUUCUGAGCUCCUGUCUUUGGCCUGGCCUAGCCCUGCCUGUUGUGGUCAUUUGGGAAGUUAAUAAGCAGAUGGAAAAUCUUUCUCUCUCUCUCUCUGUGUGUCUCUCUCUGUCAUUCUUUCAAAUAAAACAAACAAACGUACAUACAAACAUUAAAAAAGAAAGGAAGGACUGACUGGCAUUAUAGAGCAGUGGAUUAAGUCAUUGCUACAACACUGCCAUCUCAUAUGAGCUUCCUGUUCCAGCUGCUCCACUUUUGAUCCAGCUCCCUACUAAUGCACCUGGGAAGGCAGUGGAAGAUUCCAAAGUACUUGCACCAUGCACCCACGUUGAAGACCUGGAAGAAGCACCUGGCUUCAGCUUGGCCAAGCCCCUGCCAUUGCAACCAUUUGGGGAAUGAACCAGCAGAUGGAAGAUCUCUCUCUCUCUCUCUGUGUCUCUCCUCCUCUCUCUGUAACUUUGCCUUUCAGAUAAAUAAAUAAGUCUUUAAAAAAAUAAAAUUGAAAGGAAGAAAAAGGAAAAUCAAGGCUUUCUUUGUAACUCCUCUACUUAGGAGCCCUGCCACAAUUGCACCUGAAGGUCGUUCAUGGCAAUGUAGCCUCUUUCUUUUUAAAGAUUUAUUUUUUAUUUAUUUGAAAGGCUGAGUUACAGAGAGAAGAGGAGACACACACACACACACACACACACAGAGAGAGAGAGAGAGAGAGGAGAGAGAUCUAUCUGAUGGUUCACUCUCCAAAUGGCUGCAAUGGCUGGGGCUGGGCCAAUCCAAAGCCAGGAGCCCAGAGCUUCUUCCUGGUCUCCCGCAUGGGUAGCAGAGGCCCAAUCUCUUGGUCCAUCUCCCACUGCUUUCCCAGGCACUUUAGCAGGGAGCUGCAUUGGAAGUGGAACAGUCGGGAUUCAAACAAGUGCCCAUAUGGGGUGCCGGCAUUGCAAAUGGCGGCUCAACCUGCUGUCACAGUGCUGGCCCCAAUGUAAGCUGCUGUCACAGUGCUGGCCCCAGGGGUUCAUCUCCAGCCUUCCAUCCUCCUUCUACUACCUAGUUCCAAAGCUGCUUCCACACUUUUAGCUGUUUGUAGAGUAUAACUCACCUCUGCUCAGCACCAUUUCCUGUCUUGGCUCAUUUAGACUGCUGUCACUGAAAUCCCAUGAACUGAAUAGCUUAUAAACGACAGAAACUUGGGACGGAUGUUUGAUGCAGUGGCCGAUGCUGCUUCUGGCGUCCGCAUAACAUGUUAGAGUGCCUGGUUCGAAUCCUGAUUACUCUGCUUCCGAACCAGUUUCCUGUUAAUGCUCACUCUGGGAGGUAGUGAAUGUUGACUCAAGUACUUGAUUCCCUGCUCCAUGUGGGAGACCCAGGUUGAGUUUUGGGCUCCUGGUUUUGACCUGACCCAGCACUGUUUGUAGCAGGCAUUUGGAGAGUGAACCAGCAGAAGGAAGACCUCUUUCUGUACAUCUCUCUUGUCUCUCUGCCUUUCAAAUAAGUGAAAAUAAAAAAAUAGAAAUUUGCUUAUCACCAUUCCAGAAGCCGGGAAGACUCCAAAUGCCAGCAGAUUGAAUGUCUGGUGGAGGUCGAUUUUCAGACAGCUGUCUUUUCACCGUAAUCUCAUGUGGUAGUUGGGGCUGACAAAUUCCCUUGGCCUUAUUUAUAAGGGCACUAACCCCAGUCGUGAGGACUCAACCCUCAUGACCCAAUUACCCCCAAAGGCUCCACCUCCUAACCAUGGCACCUUGAGUUUAGGACUGCAAAUGUGAAUGUUGGAGGGACAUGAGCAUUCAAUCCAUUGCACCCACCGAGCUGCUGGAGAUUCUGGAACCUCUACUUAGUUCUUUCUGUCCCCAAAGAGAGACCGGCAGCUGUGUUAUUUGUCCACUUGGUCUCCGUUGACUCAGGUGAAGCACGGUCGCAUCUGCCUUUCUCCUUCAGGUAACUAGAUUGUGCCAGAUCUGAGUCCUUCAAGACUGCUGAGACAGAUGCUAGUUCUUUUGUGUGCCGCUAAAAAGUUGAGGCACUGAGCUCAGUGAUCAACUUUUUCCCUUCCCACAGGGAAGCUACAAGCUUUGAUUUUUCAUCCACUCUUUCUACUGCAUUGGGGUGAAGACCAACAUGUUUAUCAGCCCAAGGAUGGUCUCCAUCCCCUGAAGUGGCUAAACUAUGAUGCUUCUGUGAGAACUUAAAGAUGAGCAAGACAGGUGACACUUUUCUGGACAGCCCUGGAGAAAUAAGGUGAUUGGGCACGUGAAUCAACUUUCUCUCCCCCAGGAGUGUCAUGGAACUUGGAUUUUUUUUCUUUUUUCUUUUUUUCUUUUCUUUCUUCCUUCCUUUCUUUCUUUCUUUCUUUUUUUUUUUUUUUUUUGACAGGCAGAGUGGACAGUGAGAGAGAGGAGAGAGAAAGGUCUUCCUUUGCUGUUGGUUCACCCUCCAAUGGCCGCCGCGGCCGGCACACCGUGCUGAUCCGAUGGCAGGAUCCAGGUGCUUCUCCUGGUCUCCCAUGGGGUGCAGGGCCCAAGCACUUGGGCCAUCCUCCACUGCACUCCCUGGCCACAGCAGAGAGCUGGCCUGGAAGAGGAGCAACCAGGACAGAAUCCAGCGCCCCGACCGGGACUAGAACCCGGGGUGCCGGCACCGCAAGGUGGAGGAUUAGCCUAUUGAGCCACGGCGCCAGCUGGAACUUGGAUUUUUCAUCCGCUAGCUCUGUGCUGUACAGGAGAAAGAAUUGAUCUCAUCUAUCAACCCCUUCUCCCUUGGGUGGCGGUAGCUAAACUGUGCCCAAUAGUCAGAGUUCCAGGAUGGCUAAGACAGAAGCUAGUCCUCUGGAGGGCACCAUCAUUAAAGCUGGGGUGCUAGACAUGUGAACCAGUGGUUUUCCUAUUCUGGGGAAGCUGGGAGAGAGGGGGCCUUUUCCUGGUUGUGUGAUGGUGGGAAGGAACAUGUUCUCUGGUGAGAGUAUGCCCCAGUGUUCUCUACUGGCUUUGGUGAGUCUCAGGGUGGGAUACAGGAGCCUUUUAAUUACUUUCUAACUCAUUGAAUUUAUCCAUGAAUUUUGCCACAUCGGUGUGUUGAGGAUGGGAGGGAGAGAAAAGGGGUUCUGGCCUGCCUUGUUGCUGACUUAUGCUCUCAGUUACACAGUUUUGUUAUGAGUAUGGGAAGUUCUUAAUUCUUUUUUAAAAAGAUUUAUUUAUUUGAUAGGCAGAGUUACAGACAGAGAGAGGAAGAGACAAAGAGAGAGAUCUUCCAUCUUCUGGUUUACUCCCCAAGUGACUGCAAGCAGGCUGGAGCUGGGUCAAUCCAAAGCCAAGAGCCAGGAGCUUCCUUCAGGUCUCUCAUGCGAGUGGAGGGGCCUAAGCACUUAGGCCAUCUUUUGCUGCUUUCCCAGGAUCAGUUUUCUCCCAGGAGGCUGCUUGUUGAACUUAACUAAACAAACAGACUUCUUGAAAGAAUCGCUGCAUGGUUUUCCAGACAUGCAUAGACAUGGAUGAAUCUGAGCAGAAGCAGACAGAGGAGGCUAAAAAGGAGGGUUCUAGUCUGUAAGUAAAGCAUCCAGCUUCACAUUUGGUAGCUACCCCUAGCUCUGAGUUUGAAGCCACUCAUCUUUAAUGGAGGAGGUGCACCAAGAAAGGCAGUCUUGAAGUCAUUUAUGUCUGGUGCUGGACUGCUACUCAUUCUCUUUCUUCUCUGUGACCCUGGGCAACUUCCUUAACUCCUAAGCUCCAACUGACUCAAUUUACUUCAAUUAAAAUAGUACUAACAACUGCCCCUUCAUGAUUUGUGGUGAGGAUUACUAAAUAAUAUAUGAAAAUUGUCCCACGAAUACUAGGUUUGCUUUUGUUUCUUUUCUGUUAAUCUCUUGUGACUUAUUAAGCCUGGGGAUUAUUUCAUUAUAUUUCUAUCAUUCUUCCUUCCAUGUUGUCUUUUUCUGUGUCUUUUUCUUCUUCUUUCCUAUCUUUCUGCCCUAUCUUUUUAAAACAGUAGACAAAUAUCCUGAGAACACUGAUAAGCUUUUUAGUGGAAAUAAUGUAUUAGGCUUUCUGUACAAGUAACUUUUUAAGUUUCUUAAGAAAUUAAACAUUUUGGGCCAGGCUGUGGUGCACUGAGUUAAAGCCACAGCUGCUUUACUUCCAAUCCAGCUCCCUGCUAAUGCACCUGGAAAAGCAGUGGAGGAUGACCCACUGUGCUUGUGCCCCUGUGCCCACAUGGGAGACCUGGAGGAAGCUCCUGGCUCCUGGCUUCAAAUCAGCCCAGCUCCCACCUUUGCAGCCAUUUGGAGGGUGACCCAGCAGAAGGAAGACCUCUCUCUCUUUCUCCUUCUCUAAUUAUAUAUGUAUAUGAAUAUAUAAAUUAAACAUUGUUCAAACAUUAUUUAAAAAUUUUUAUGUUAAAAAUUACCCAAAUCUUAAAAAAAUUUUCACAUUUUAUGUUACAUACCAGAAACCGACAGCAAGCACUUAUUUCUCUAAAGAAAGUUACAAAUCCUGUAACUUUUUUUCUUUUUUAAAAAUUAAUCCACUACCCAAACGCAAUUCAACGAUUUUAGGUGGUGCUGGGAGUGUUGUGAAGGCUGAACGAUAACUUGAUGUAAAAUGAACUCACAUAAACCGCUGAUGUGAUGUUAACUGAAUGACCUUUUCCUAACUUAUCUUAAAAGGCAGGACUCUGGAGAUAGUGUAAGUACCCCCAGUCACAGGCAGGAAAUAGAUGACUUUCCAGUUGGGGACAUGGCCAAUCAUCUCAUAAAUAUUUCCUUGUCAUCCUUCUUACACAAUACACCUGGCAAAUUGUUGGGAACAUGAGUUCACAAAAUCAGCAGGCCAACAAAAAUAUGUUGGGCCUAUUUUCGAAUAAUUUCUGCCUGAAACAAGGCAAAACAGUUCAGGAUGGAAAUAAAGAUGACGAAGAUGACUUCAGUGUACUUUUGAUUUUCAAAAAUAGUAAUUUGACCAUAGCUAUUGAAUGAAAUAUUUCCAAUGAAUGAACCUUGGAGUAGUCAAUAGCAUAUUUGUAGAUGGCUGUUUUAGAAUCACAGAAGGCACCUCUGGUCUCGGUUUAUAAAUAAGGUGUAAUACUUUCAUUGAGCAAACACAGUGGGCAAUAAACCAGUCAAUGGGGCCACCCCAACGAAUCUGAGUUAAAACUCUAAAUACUACCCCAUUUGUACCCACUAUCGAGACAUUUUCAGAUUGCAACAAAAGACCUUACAUUUUUCACUGUGCUUUUCUCAGCAACACUGCUGAUUACUCUGCUCCUGGGAAUCCACUUCUAACUCAGAUCUUCAAUAGAGGCUUUUGCUUACAUUUUCAAAAUCUAUAUAAUCCCAGGGUUACCAAUCUACACAGUGCCGCAUUUUGAAAUUUAACAAGCCAGAUAAUACAGCAGUGAUCAAAGCCAGGCCCACUGAACCAGGAUGAGGAAAUUCCCAAGUGGAUUUUCUUUUUUUGGAGUUUUAACAUUCCAUUCAACCCACAGUGGGCUGUGUAGAAAUCCUUGGAACAUCCAGAACUAGGGGCCUUGUUGGUAUCACUGGCAAAAAGGCAACCCUUAGCUGCCAUUGUGCUGCAGUGGGUUAAAUUGCUAUUUUCAAUACUGGCAUCUCAUAUCAGAAUUCUGGUUCAAGUCUCAGCUGCACUACUUCGUAUCCAGUUUCCUGCUGAUGUAUCUGGAAAGGCAACAGAUGAUGGCCCAAGUGGCUGAACCCCUACCACUCAUGUGGGAGACUCAGAUGGAGUUCUUGCCUCUUUGUUUCAGCCUGGCUGAGACCUGGCUUUGGAAUCCUUUCAGGGAGUGAAUGAGCAGAUGGAAGAUCUCUUUCUGUCUCUCUCUCCUUCCCUCCCUCCCUCUAUUCCUGUUACUCUGCCUUUCAAAUAAAUAAAUCUUAGAAAAAAUUUUUUAAAGGCAAUCCCUAGAUGACAAAGUUCCAAACAAAGCAAAACAAAGCCAUUUAUUUCAUAAAGUUUAGUACAAAAAUAAUUCAAUAAGGAGAAGUGAUAGUCUUCUCUCAGGCAUCAUGUAGAACCAAGGGGAUUCUCACACAUGUUUAAAAUGGCAUCCAAGGUUACUAUCUGAAGUGCUAAUUUUGCAUUCCUUUUAUACAAAGACAGAAAAGUUUUUAACUACUCAACCAGUCAUCUAGUAUAAUAACUGAAUGGGCUGUGUAUAGUUCCUCCAUUCAAAUGCUUUCCAUAAUCGAGUACAGUAGAGACAACUGUCCAACAAAAGUGUUCCCUUUAAACACAUAUAAUAUAAUCAUUACAAAAGUGCUUGAGGAACACUUGGGGAUGGGUCAGGCUUUAGGAUUAACACGGAAUUAAUACUAAACAGGCAGGACUUCAUGGAGAAGGAUUUUCAAAGGAGCUAUACAGUCUGACAGCUUGGAAGGUAGACUCCAAGCCAAGUCUAAUAUACUUGUGCCUGGUUGAAUUUUCAUUACGACCCAAUAGUCUCUAAUGGCAUGCAAAAUAAUAAAAUUCAAAAUUAAAUCAGUUAAUCAUUGACCCUAGAAGAAAAUAUUUUUAGAUAAGACAUCUUUCAUUUUACAAGUUGCUAUCAUUUGAUCAGCAGAAAGACAGACAAGGAAAGAGCGCGCCCUUCCACUGUUCAACUCCCAAAAUGCCCACGACAGCUGGGGAGCUGAGGCCAGGAGCCAGGAACUCAAUCUGGCAGGAAUGAAAUUCCUUGAGCCGUCACGUUGCCUCCCUGGGUCUGCAUGGGUAGGAAGCUGCAAGUCAAGAGCUCGAGCUGAAUAUUGAACCCAGGCGUUCUGAUGUUGGAUGUGUAGGCAUUUUAAUCAAUAGGCUAAAUACCUACUCCAUAUGUCUCAUUUUUCAUAAAACUUCCUGUUAAUCAAUUUAGAGUGGUGAACCUCUGUUGGAGAAGUAAAACUCUGGUACUGGAGACUUCUGCUUAAUUAUUUAACAGUUGACAGCUUUUUACUUAUUAGUUUGAACCAUAUCAAAGUACUGUUAAUAGACUUUGAUGUUUCUAACUUAA